CUGGCCUGUACUGCGGCGGUGAGUCGGCGGGCGGCUUCAGCCUGCACGGCCUGGCGAGGUGCGCCGUUCAAGGCCGCCGGGCCGGCC
rnacentral:tRNA from 1 species